GAUGAACGCUGGCGGCGUGCUUAACACAUGCAAGUCGAACGAAGCACUUUACUUGAUUUCCUUCGGGGAUGAUUGUUCUGUGACUGAGUGGCGGACGGGUGAGUAACGCGUGGAUAACCUGCCUCACACAGGGGGAUAACAGUUGGAAACGACUGCUAAUACCGCAUAAGCGCACAGCACCGCAUGGUGCAGUGUGAAAAACUCCGGUGGUGUGAGAUGGAUCCGCGUCUGAUUAGCUUGUUGGCGGGGUAACGGCCCACCAAGGCGACGAUCAGUAGCCGGCCUGAGAGGGCGACCGGCCACAUUGGGACUGAGACACGGCCCAGACUCCUACGGGAGGCAGCAGUGGGGGAAUAUUGCACAAUGGGGGAAACCCUGAUGCAGCGACGCCGCGUGAGCGAUGAAGUAUUUCGGUAUGUAAAGCUCUAUCAGCAGGGAAGAUAAUGACGGUACCCGACUAAGAAGCUCCGGCUAAAUACGUG
rnacentral:rRNA from 1 species